CAGCAGCCGCGGGAAUACGAAGGGGGCUAGCGUUGUUCGGAUUUACUGGGCGUAAAGCGCACGUAGGCGGACUUUUAAGUCAGGGGUGAAAUCCCGGGGCUCAACCCCGGAACUGCCUUUGAUACUGGAAGUCUUGAGUAUGGUAGAGGUGAGUGGAAUUCCGAGUGUAGAGGUGAAAUUCGUAGAUAUUCGGAGGAACACCAGUGGCGAAGGCGGCUCACUGGACCAUUACUGACGCUGAGGUGCGAAAGCGUGGGGAGCAAACAGGAUUAGAUACCCCCGUAGUCCCUGUCUCUUAUAC
rnacentral:rRNA from 1 species